CCCGUCACGUCAUGAAAGUGGGCAACACCUGAAGCCGGCGGCCUAACCUGUCUUUUUCGGAAGACAAGAGGGAGCUGUCGAGGGUGGGGUUCAUGACUGGGACG
rnacentral:rRNA from 1 species